GUUGAAAAGAGAGUGGCUCUUGUAAUAACCUAACUCUUAUGAAACUAACUACGAUAUACCUGUAUAUAUAUGGAUGGCUGUCCCUAUGGGUGAAAAGAAUAAGGGCUUAGCCCGUGGCCCUGUGGUUAAAAUUUAGCCACCAUCUAUAGUCUAUAUUCUAUGUAUACGCAUUUCCCUUGGUGUUUAUUCUAACAUGACAACAACAAAGAGAUUAUAAAUUAUGAUCCCAAAAUAAAUGCAUGUAUCUCAGCCCAACUAGAGACUGUAUACAAAAUGCCUGGCAGACCCUUCCAAUUAGGAGAGCUACCCUCAUCAAAUUCCUUCUGUUUCUUCACCAUACCAGAGA
rnacentral:misc_RNA from 1 species